UACGUAGGGGGCAAGCGUUGUCCGGAUUCAUUGGGCGUAAAGAGCGUGUAGGCGGCCAGGUAGGUCGGUUGUGAAAACUGGAGGCUCAACCUUCAGAGGUCGACCGAAACCAUCUGGCUAGAGUCCGGAAGAGGAGAGUGGAAUUCCUGGUGUAGCGGUGAAAUGCGUAGAGAUCCGGAGGAACACCAGUGGCGAAGGCGACACGCUGGGCCAUACCUGACGCUAAAGCGCGACAGCAUGGGGAGCAAACGGG
rnacentral:rRNA from 1 species